UUUUUAAAAUUUUAUUCAUUUGUGUUCUUAAAGAUUAUAAUAGUUGAUAGAAUAAUCCCACAUUAACAUGUGGUAUUUCACGUACACUUUAUAUUAACAUAUAAAGAUUAGUUUUUAACAGCAAAAAUAGAUAGAAUUUUAACAA
rnacentral:pre_miRNA from 1 species